rnacentral:lncRNA from 1 species
GUUGUCGCUUUGCUCUUUUUCUCUCCUGCCACCAUGUAAGACGGCCUCACUUCCCCUUUGCCUUUCACCAUGACUGUAAAUUUCCUGAUGCCUCCCCAGCCACGUGGAACUGUAUAACUACAAUGAUCCUUUGCUUGAGUUUGAUCUCCACCUGGACUUGAAUCUGUAAUGAGUCAUCAGCCAGAGUCUAUGUUUCCAUCUCAGGUGCGGUGGCUAACGCCUGUAAUCCCAGCACUUUCGGAGGCCGAGCUGGGUGGAUCACGACGUCAGGAGUUCAAGACCAGCCUGGCCAAGAUGGUGAAACCCCAUCUCUACUGAAAAUACAAAAAUUAGCCAGGCGCACUGGCACACGCCUGUAAUCCCAGCUACUCGGGAGGCUGAGGCAGGGAAUUGCUUGAACCAGGGAGGUGGAGGUUACAGUGAGCCCAGAUCAUGCCACUGCACUCCAGCCUGGGCAACGGAGCGAGACUCUGUCUCACAAAAAAUAAAUAAAUAAAAGAAAAGAAAAAUAAAUAAAUAAAAAAUAAAAUCUGUAAGUUGGCAUUUU